GAUGAACGCUGGCGGCGUGCCUAAUACAUGCAAGUCGAGCGAAUGGAUUAAGAGCUUGCUCUUAUGAAGUUAGCGGCGGACGGGUGAGUAACACGUGGGUAACCUGCCCAUAAGACUGGGAUAACUCCGGGAAACCGGGGCUAAUACCGGAUAACAUUUUGAACCGCAUGGUUCGAAAUUGAAAGGCGGCUUCGGCUGUCACUUAUGGAUGGACCCGCGUCGCAUUAGCUAGUUGGUGAGGUAACGGCUCACCAAGGCAACGAGGCGUAGCCGACCGGGGAGGGUGAUCGGCCACACUGGGACUGAGACACGGCCCAGACGCCUACGGGAGGCAGCAGUAGGGAAUCUUCCGCAAUGGACGAAAGUCUGACGGAGCAACGCUGCGUGAGUGAUGAAGGCUUUCGGGUCGUAAAACUCUGUUGUUAGGGAAGAACAAGUGCUAGUUGAAUAAGCUGGCACCUUGACGGUACCUAACCAGAAAGCCACGGCUAACUACGUGCCAGCCGCCGCCGUAA
rnacentral:rRNA from 1 species